GACGAACGCUGGCGGCGUGCUUAACACAUGCAAGUCGAACGGAAAGGCCCUGCUUUUGUGGGGUGCUCGAGUGGCGAACGGGUGAGUAACACGUGAGUAACCUGCCCUUGACUUUGGGAUAACUUCAGGAAACUGGGGCUAAUACCGGAUAGGAGCGCCUUCUGCAUGGUGGGGGUUGGAAAGUUUCGGCGGUUGGGGAUGGACUCGCGGCUUAUCAGCUUGUUGGUGGGGUAGUGGCUUACCAAGGCUUUGACGGGUAGCCGGCCUGAGAGGGUGACCGGCCACAUUGGGACUGAGAUACGGCCCAGACUCCUACGGGAGGCAGCAGUGGGGAAUCUUGCACAAUGGGCGGAAGCCUGAUGCAGAAACGCCGCGUGCGGGAUGACGGCCUUCGGGUUGUAAACCGCUUUCGCCUGUGACGAAGCGUGAGUGACGGUAAUGGGUAAAGAAGCACCGGCUAACUACGUG
rnacentral:rRNA from 1 species